AGUAACGCGUGGGUAACCUGCCUCAUACAGGGGGAUAACAGUUAGAAAUGACUGCUAAUACCGCAUAAGCGCACAGUGCUGCAUGGCACAGUGUGAAAAACUCCGGUGGUAUGAGAUGGACCCGCGUCUGAUUAGCUAGUUGGUGGGGUAACGGCCUACCAAGGCGACGAUCAGUAGCCGGCCUGAGAGGGUGAACGGCCACAUUGGGACUGAGACACGGCCCAA
rnacentral:rRNA from 1 species